rnacentral:rRNA from 1 species
CGGGAAGAGCUCAAGCUGAAAAUCCGGAUGCCUUGCGGUAUCCCGAAUUGUAGUCUAGAGACGUGCUGUCAGUGUGUGACCUGGGUAUAAGUCUUUUGGAACAAGGCAUCAUAGAGGGUGAGAAUCCCGUCUUUGACCCAGAGUACGCCACGUACGACACGCGUUCGAAGAGUCGAGUUGGUCGGGACUCCAGCUCUAAAUGGGUGGUAAGAUUCAUCUAAAGCUAAAUAUAGGCGGGAGACCGAUAGCGAACAAGUACCGUGAGGGAAAGAUGAAAAGAACUUUGAAAAGAGAGUUAAAAAGUACUUGAAAUUGUUAAGAGGAAAGCGAUGGAAACCAGUCGUGCCUGGUGCAACUAAAGUCUUCGCCUGCGAAGAAGGUGCGGUUUGAGUGGUUAAACCUCUGCCGUGCCUUGGACGUUGUGUGGGGGUGGACGUUGUGUUGGGUGGGUCAGCAUCGAUUUGGCUUGCUUGGGAGAAAGCCAGGGGGGAGCUAGCUUUGCCUUCGGGUGUCGCCGUAUAUCCCUCGGGCUCUACCGGGUGCUGGAUCGAGGACUUGACAACGUGCGCCUUACGGCUUGGAUCCCUAUCUCUGCGGUGUCAACGGCUCUGGACAGAAAAUCUGUGCUGGUCGUGAAGCGCUGUACUGGGUGGGUGCAUUCAUAUGUACGUUCGCGAUGCUGACGAAAUGGUUCUCAUCGACCCGUCUUGAAACACGGACCAAGGAGUCUAACAUAUGUGCGAGUAUUUGGGUGGAAAACCCUGAUGCGUAAUGAAAGUAAAGGCGGACUCGUGCCGCUGAGGUAGGAACCCUGGCUUCGGUUUGGGGGGCACUAUCGACCGAACGUUCGCUUGCGAAAGUUUUGAGUAAGAGCACAUCUGUUGGGACCCGAAAGAUGGUGAUCUAUGCCAGAACAGGGUGAAGGCAGGGGAAACUCUGCUGGAAGCUCGUAGCGAUACUGACGUGCAAAUCGUUCGUCUGAUUUUGGUAUAGGGGCGAAAGACUAAUCGAACCAUCUAGUAGCUGGUUCCCACCGAAGUUUCCCCCAGGAUAGCUGGAACUAUAUCGGUCUUAUCAGGUAAAGCUAAUGAUUAGAGGUCUUCGGAAUGAAACAUUCUGACCCUAUUCUCAAACUUUAAAUAGGUAAGAAACCCUAAGUCACUUAAUUGGACUUGGGUCUCGGACGAGAGUUCUUAGUGGGCCAUUUUUGGUAAGCAGAACUGGCGAUGCGGGAUGAACCGGACGUUGACUUAAGGUGCCAA